GUCCACGCCGUAAACGAUGGAUACUAGCUGUUGGGCGCAAGUUCAGUGGCUAAGCGAAAGUGAUAAGUAUCCCACCUGGGGAGUACGAACGCAAGUUUGAAACUCAAAGGAAUUGACGGGGGCCCGCACAAGCGGUGGAGCAUGUGGUUUAAUUCGAUGAUACGCGAGGAACCUUACCAAGGCUUAAAUGCAGACUGACCGAUUUGGAAACAGAUCUUUCGCAAGACAGUUUACAAGGUGCUGCAUGGUUGUCGU
rnacentral:rRNA from 1 species